rnacentral:rRNA from 1 species
GAUGAACGCUGGCGGCGUGCCUAAUACAUGCAAGUCGAGCGAAUGGAUUAAGAGCUUGCUCUUAUGAAGUUAGCGGCGGACGGGUGAGUAACACGUGGGUAACCUGCCCAUAAGACUGGGAUAACUCCGGGAAACCGGGGCUAAUACCGGAUAAUAUUUUGAACUGCAUGGUUCAAAAUUGAAAGGCGGCUUCGGCUGUCACUUAUGGAUGGACCCGCGUCGCAUUAGCUAGUUGGUGAGGAAACGGCUCACCAAGCCAACGAUGCGUAGCCGACCUGAGAGGGUGAUCGGCCACACUGGGACUGAGACACGGCCCAGACUCCUACGGGAGGUAGCAGUAGGGAAUCUUCCGCAAUGGACGAAAGUCUGACGGAGCAACGCCGCGUGAGUGAUGAAGGCUUUCGGGUCGUAAAACUCUGUUGUUAGGGAAGAACAAGUGCUAGUUGAAUAAGCUGGCACCUUGACGGUACCUAACCAGAAAGCCACGGCUAACUACGUGCCAGCCGCCGCAGUAA